UCAAGAGUGAGAAAGUUCUUAGUUUUUCAAAAAGUUCUUAGUUUCCAAAGUUUGUAAGUUCUUUCAAAUUUAAUAAAAAAGAGUGUUUAAAAAUUCUAUAUUAGUUUCUUAGUUCUUCAUUUUUGGCAGCUGUCAAGUUUUCAGGGGACUGUCGAAAGGAAAACCUCACUUCUUUCUUAAGACAUAACCACCAGAGCCAAGACCUAGAAUUUCCUUAAUUCCAAGAGAAGACACAAGUUCACCCAGAACAGGAGCAAGACUGGGACUAUCAGACGGAGAUAGUGACGAGUAUGAACGAGACUACAACUCAGCCAUGGAUCAUUUUGCACAAGACCUAAAUGCCGAUGAAGAUUUAGGAAUAGAGUUUGAUUCAGAAGCAUUACACUAUCUGGAUACGUAAGCAAUGACGAUAUCCACGAAAGACAAAAUUACAGACGUAUGCAGUGAUGUAAAAGAUAAAUAAAUAGAUGGAUAAAGUAAAGACACAGCCAUGUGAUCGUGGGCCCCACCGAAGUUUCCAAAAGUCUUGCUAAAUCUUAUCAAAUAUAUUGAUGAAAGGAUUUGAAAUACAUAAAUUAUACUGAAGAAAUGAUUUGAAGUCCACAAAUGCCUAUAAAUACCCCCUUUGGAAGACUUAAACAUAAGUAACUAGAGAGAAAAAAUCAAGAGUGAGAAAAUUCUUGGUUUUUCAUAAAGUUCUUAGUUUCCAAAGUUUGUUAGUUAGUUCAAAUUCAAAAAAAAAGAGUGUGUGUAAAAACUCUAUAUUAGUUUCGUAGUUCUUCAUUUUCGGUAGCUGUCAAGUUUUCAGGGGACUCGCGAAAGGGAAACUUCACUUCUUCCUUAAGACAUGUAAGUAGUCGUUGCAUAGAUAUUUGUAUUUCUUAUCCCAAGUUUGUAAAUUAUGUUUGAAUUAAUCAAGUUCAUAUUUUAUUUUUCAA